rnacentral:rRNA from 1 species
UACGAGAGGCCCAAACGUUAUUCGGAUUUACUGGGCUUAAAGAGUUCGUAGGCGGUUCGGUAAGUGAGGUGUGAAAGCCCUCGGCUCAACCGAGGAAUUGCGCUUCAAACUGCCGGGCUCGAGGGAGAUAGAGGUGAGCGGAACUGAUGGUGGAGCGGUGAAAUGCGUUGAUAUCAUCAGGAACACCAGAGGCGAAGGCGGCUCACUGGGUCUCUACUGACGCUGAGGAACGAAAGCCAGGGGAGCAAACGGG